rnacentral:tRNA from 1 species
GUCUUCAUGGUGUAGUUGGUUAUCACGUCAGUCUAACACACUGAAGGUCCUCGGUUCGAACCCGGGUGAAGACA